UUCGAAGAUGCGCGAAGAACCUUACCUGGCCUUGACAUUGAUAGAAUACUGUAGAGAUACGGUAGUGCCUUUCGGGGAACUUGAAAACAGGUGCUGCACGGCUGUCGUCAGCUCGUGUCGUGAGAUGUUGGGUUAAGUCCCGCAACGAGCGCAACCCUCGUCCUUAGUUGCCAGCAGUUCGGCUGGGCACUCUAAGGAGACUGCCUUCGCAAGGAGGAGGAAGGUGAGGACGACGUCAAGUCAUCAUGGCCCUUAUGGCCAGGGCUACACACGUGCUACAAUGGGACGUACAGAGAGUUGCGAUACCGCGAGGUGGAGCCAAUCUCAUAAAGCGUCUCUCAGUUCGGAUUGUUCUCUGCAACUCGAGAGCACGAAGCUGGAAUCACUAGUAAUCGUAGAUCAG
rnacentral:rRNA from 1 species